rnacentral:rRNA from 1 species
UACGUAGGGUGCAAGCGUUAAUCGGAAUUACUGGGCGUAAAGCGUGCGCAGGCGGUUUUGUAAGUCUGUUGUGAAAUCCCCGGGCUCAACCUGGGAAUGGCAAUGGAGACUGCAAGGCUAGAGUUUGGCAGAGGGGGGUAGAAUUCCACGUGUAGCAGUGAAAUGCGUAGAUAUGUGGAGGAACACCGAUGGCGAAGGCAGCCCCCUGGGUCAAAACUGAUGCUCAUGCACGAAAGCGUGGGGAGCAAACAGG